ACUGGCACCAAGGCUUCUUAGAAAAAGCCCCAGGGUAAGCCCAACCCAGCCUCUCCUCCCACUAAUUAUGGGUGGGGCUGUGUUUUCUUCCUGUUGUUUGACCUGAGACCAAACUACGGUGGAGGAAAUGAAGAAAAUGGUGACCUCCUUCAAAAGGUCCUGUGCAGAUACUGCAGCACUCAGUGCCCCCGACCCUGCAACAGGCCACCAUUGACGCACGCCUCCACUGGAGACUCCUGGACACUCUACACAUGGACAUCACCAGAUGUUUCCGCAGACUUAAUCACUCCCUGUGAAACCUGCCCAUUGUGACCUUCAUCUCCUCUGGCCGACAGCACCCAGAUGCUUCCUGUGAGACAAAGCGCAGGCACUGACUUGUGAGCUACAGGAAGCACUGUUCUUUUUUUUUUUCUAGUUGAAAAUGCUAAAAUAGUGUAAAAAUGCACUGUGUUAUCUUUUGAUUAUUGGAAGGGUGGUUCUCAUGCUUUUAUAUUUUCCUUCUCUUUGG
ensembl:lncRNA